rnacentral:tRNA from 1 species
GAUGGUAUAGCUCAAGUGGUAGAGUGCAUGCUUAGCAUGCACGAGGUCCUGGGCUCAAUCCCCAGUACCUCCU